UACGGGGGGUGCGAGCGUUGUCCGGAAUCACUGGGCGUAAAGGGCGCGUAGGUGGUUUGAUAAGGGUGUGGUGAAAGCCCGGGGCUCAACCCCCGGGUCUGCCGUGCCGACUGUCAAACUCGAGGGCUGUAGAGGCAGACGGAAUUCCGGGUGUAGCGGUGGAAUGCGUAGAGAUCCGGAGGAAGACCGGUGGCGAAGGCGGUCUGCUGGGCAGUUUCUGACACUGAUGCGCGACAGCGUGGGGAGCAAACAGG
rnacentral:rRNA from 1 species